GCUAAGCAUGGUGGUGCAUGCCUAUAAUCCCAGCAACUCAGGAGGCUAAGGCAGGAGAAUUGCAAGUUCAAGGACAGCCUCAGCAAUUUAGUGAGGCCCUAAGCAAUUUAGUGAGACCCUGUCUCAA
rnacentral:sRNA from 1 species